rnacentral:rRNA from 1 species
GUUCCUACGGGACGCAGCAGUGGGGGAUAUUGCACAAGGGGCGAAAGCCUGAUGCAGCGACGCCGCGUGAGGGAAGACGGUCUUCGGAUUGUAAACCUCUGUCUUUGGGGAAGAAAUCAGACGGUACCCAGAGAGGAAGCUCCGGCUAACUACGUGCCAGCAGCCGCGGUAAUACGUAGGGAGCGAGCGUUGUCCGGAAUUACUGGGUGUAAAGGGAGCGUAGGCGGGCUUGUAAGUUGAAUGUCUAAUCCACCGGCUCAACCGGUGAUCGCGUUAAAUACUGCCGGUCUUGAGUGUAGAAGAGG